GACAGAGGCCUCAAGCGUUAGGCGGAAUCACUGGGCUUAAAGCGUGUGUAGGCGGAUCGUUAAGUGUCUUGUGAAAUCCCACGGCUCACCCGUGGAACUGCUGGGCAUACUGGCGAUCUUGGGCCAACUAGGGGCAACUGGAACAAGCGGUGGAGCGGUGAAAUGCGUAGAUAUCGCUUGGAACGCCAACGGUGAAAGCAGGUUGCUGGGGUUGUGCCGACGCUGAGACACGAAAGCCAGGGGAGCAAACGGG
rnacentral:rRNA from 1 species